GGCGCGUGGUGAUCGGGGCCACCCGGUUGACUCAGCUGGGCCCUGAGGCCCAAGUGCGCAAUAUUAAGCGGCUAGUGGUUCACCAACACUACAGUAACAUCACGGAGAGGAAUGACAUUGCCCUGCUGGAAUUGGACCAGCCUGUCCAGUGCAGCUACUCCGUCCAGCUUGCCUGUGUGCCCGACGCCUCGCUGAGAGUGUCAAAGCUGACAACCUGCUAUGUCAGUGGCUGGGGUUCCACGACUGCAAGAUCUGGAGGACCAACUGAUGUCCUGCAGGAGGCCAAGGUCCGCCUCAUUGAUGUCAACCGCUGUAACAGCAGCGGGUGGUACAGAGGGGCCAUCCACACCCACAACCUGUGUGCUGGCUAUGCGCAGGGUGGCAUCGACACCUGCCAGGGUGACAGCGGUGGUCCCCUCGUCUGCAAAGAUAACAACGCAGACUACUUCUGGCUCGUUGGAGUCACCAGCUGGGGAAGAGGCUGCGCGAGAGCAAAACGGCCCGGAGUCUACACCUCCACGCAGCACUUUUACAACUGGAUCCUGG